AGAAUCAACGCUGGCGGCGUGCCUAACACAUGCAAGUCGAACGAGAAAGGGGUUUCGGCCCUGAGUAAAGUGGCGCACGGGUGAGUAACACGUGACUAACCUACCCUUGAGUGGGGAAUAACUUCGAGAAAUCGAGGCUAAUUCCGCAUAAUACCUACGGGUCAAAGGAGCAAUUCGCUUAAGGAGGGGGUCGCGGCAGAUUAGCUAGUUGGCGGGGUAAUGGCCCACCAAGGCAGUGAUCUGUAUCCGGCCUGAGAGGGCGCACGGACACACUGGAACUGAAACACGGUCCAGACUCCUACGGGAGGCAGCAGUGGGGAAUUUUGCGCAAUGGGGGAAACCCUGACGCAGCAACGCCGCGUGGAGGAUGAAGUCUCUUGGGACGUAAACUCCUUUCGACCGGGACGAUAAUGACGGUACCGGAAGAAGAAGCCCCGGCUAACUUCGUGCCAGCAGCCGC
rnacentral:rRNA from 1 species